UACCAGCACCCCCGAGUGGUCGGGACGAUUAUUGGGCCUAAAGCAUCCGUAGCCGGUUUACAAGUCCCCCGUUAAAUCCAACUGCUUAACAGAUGGGCCGCGGAGGAUACUAUAAGACUAGGAGGCAGGAGAGGCAAGCGGUACUCAGUGGGUAGGGGUAAAAUCCGUUGAUCCCAUUGAAGACCACCAGUGGCGAAGGCGG
rnacentral:rRNA from 1 species